GUGGGUAUAGCUCAGCGGUAGUGUGUGCCUAGAAUGCAUGAAGUUCUGGGUUCAGUCCCCAGUAUCUCCA
rnacentral:tRNA from 1 species